CCUACGGGUGACUGCAGUGAGGAAUAUUGGUCAAUGGGCGUGAGCCUGAACCAGCCAAGUAGCGUGAGGGAUGAAGGUUCUAUGGGUCGUAAACCUCUUUUAUAAGGGAAUAAAGUGAGGGACGUGUGCCGUUUUGUAUGUACCUUAUGAAUAAGGAUCGGCUAACUCCGUGCCAGCAGCCGCGGUAAUACGGAGGAUCCGAGCGUUAUCCGGAUUUAUUGGGUUUAAAGGGUGCGUAGGUGGGUUUUUAAGUCAGCGGUGAAAGUUUGUGGCUCAACCAUAGAAUUGCAGUUGAUACUGGCAGUCUUGAGUAUGUUUGAGGUAGGCGGAAUGCGUGGUGUAGCGGUGAAAUGCUUAGAUAUCACGCAGAACUCCGAUUGCGAAGGCAGCUUGCCAAGC
rnacentral:rRNA from 1 species